rnacentral:rRNA from 1 species
UCCGGAUUUAUUGGGUUUAAAGGGAGCGUAGGCCGGAGAUUAAGCGUGUUGUGAAAUGCCGCGGCUCAACCGUGGCACUGCAGCGCGAACUGGUUUUCUUGAGUGCGCGCGACGCAGGCGGAAUUCGUGGUGUAGCGGUGAAAUGCUUAGAUAUCACGAGGAACCCCGAUUGCGAAGGCAGCUUGCGGGAGCGCAACUGACGCUGAAGCUCGAAGGUGCGGGUAUCGAACAGGAUUAGAUACCCUGGUAGUCCGCACGGUAAACGAUGGAUGCCCGCUGUUCCGUUAUAUGAUGGAGUGGCCAAGCGAAAGCGUUAAGCAUCCCACCUGGGGAGUACGCCGGCAACGGUGAAACUCAAAGGAAUUGACGGGGGCCCGCACAAGCGGAGGAACAUGUGGUUUAAUUCGAUGAUACGCGAGGAACCUUACCCGGGCUUGAACUGCCGGUGAACGAUACAGAGAUGUUGAGGCCCUUCGGGGCGCCGGUGGAGGUGCUGCAUGGUUGUCGUCAGCUCGUGCCGUGAGGUGUCGGCUUAAGUGCCAUAACGAGCGCAACCCCUUUUCUUAGUUGCCAUCGGGUGAUGCCGGGCACUCUGGGAAUACUGCCGCCGCAAGGUGGAGGAAGGUGGGGAUGACGUCAAAUCAGCACGGCCCUUACGUCCGGGGCUACACACGUGUUACAAUGGCGCGUACAGAGGGUCGGCUUACGGCGACGUUGGUCCAAUCCCUAAAACGCGUCUCAGCUCGGACUGGGGUCUGCAACCCGACCCCACGAAGCUGG